GAUGAAGAACGUAGCGAAAUGCGAUAAGUAGUGUGAAUUGCAGAAUUCAGUGAAUCAUCGAAUCUUUGAACGCACAUUGCGCCCUUUGGUAUUCCUUAGGGCAUGCCUGUUCGAGCGUCAUUUAAACCUUCAAGCUCGGCUUGCGGUUGAGCCCCGCACCGUCCCCGGGACGGUGGGCUCGAAACAUGUUGGACGCCCGUGAGGUUCUCGGUGCAGCGAGCUCUCGAGCACGUGCCGGGCAACCUCUCUGGGCGUCGGCCAACCCCCCAAUUUCUCAGGUUGACCUCGGAUCAGGUAGGAAUACCCGCUGAACUUAAGCAUAUCAAUAAGCGGAGGA
rnacentral:misc_RNA from 1 species